CCUCACGUUCAGGGGUUGUUGUUGUGGCUCAAGCACUUUGACGGGUAGAUGGCACUCAGGUCAGUACCCCUAAAUGGGGAGGCUCUGGCCAGUCACUGCCUUGGCUCUGGGAGCCUGGACUAUAUUUGGAACUCUUAGGGGCCCUGGGUCAUUGUGAAGUCUCCAGCGAGAAAUGAAGAUGGCAUAUGGAAAGGCGAUUCUUAUACUCAGAAGGAAAAGUUCCCAUGGAAGCCAUGGAUUCAUUCAUGACAAAGUGGGUGGCCUGUUUGUUUGCUUGAGGAUCCCAGCCAUGUUGCCCUCAGUAGCCCUCCCUCCUUGGACUGUGACAGUUUCUCCAUCUUCUUUUGUUUACAUGACCUUGAUCGCUUUGAGGAGUACAGGACCUGCGUUCUAGCUCCCUUGUCGCCCUGAGAAAAGACCAGUGAGUCCUGAUGGAUACCAGUAACAUUGACAGCCGCAAAGGAGUUAAUGUUUGUAUAUACGGCUUGUACUGUAGUCUUAUAGUGAACAAAACUCACUGUUACAUAGUUGCCUAUGUGAGUUCCACUUCCCCUGAUCCGUGGUCUGAAGCUCUACCACUUUUUUUCUCAUUCUCACCCAAGAGGGGCAGCUGAAAUGAAACCCACCGUCAUCAACCAGGAACUGAACUCUCAAAAGAAAUGAAGAAUCCAGGGGCAACGGCAGUCUCGCUAUUCAUUAAUGGGUUUAUUGAGAACUCUCUUGACAUUGAGCUGUAACUACAACAUUUAAGAAAAUCUCAAAUUUGAAAAUAAAUAAGUUGGCUGACAUACAGACAUUUUAC
rnacentral:lncRNA from 10 species